GGGCCGAGCGGCAUGGAUGCCGCGAGAGCCGCAUUGGGCCAUGGAUGGCCCGUUUGCGGCGGGCCC
rfam:Pseudomonas sp. Bc-h sc_014, whole genome shotgun sequence.